GUGUGGUUUUGCCCUUUUUUGGCUGUGUGUAGGUGAGAUUCUAGAUCCACCUGUUAAUCGAUGAUUGGCUGACAGAUGAUAUAAAAUGAAUCGGGAUUUAAGUUUCUUCCCAGUUGCUGCAAGUGAUGACAGAAGUGGAAGUGGUUUCCAGGAGGAACUUAUUCACUAUGUUUAAUUCAGAAAAUGACCACGAUAAAGAAGUUUCUCAUUUAUCGUCUUUUCAUAAGUCAGAUUCCCCUCGGGGUGGGGAAGAUUUUUUAGACAAAUGUUUCAAUAAAUUUGAGUCUACGAACGGCCCAUUAAUUUACGAAAGUGGAGAAUUAAAAAAUUAUGAUGCGAGUAAAAAGCUGGUGAUUCCAAAGGAAACACAGUGUACACUAUUAAUAAGAAAUUAUAAACAAAAUUAUAUCAAAAUUGGACGUGGUUGUUAUUAUGUAUAUAGCCACGUCUUGACCGCUUUACACGUCGUCGAGGACGCAAAUCCUUACCAUUCUAACAUGCUCGCCGUUUUCAAGACGGAAGAAAUUGUACUGGUUUAUAAAGCUGGAUUUGAAGAUUUGUGUAACCGCGACAAAGCUAAAGAUCAGGCGUUUAUCAAAUUAUAUGGCGAUACUACGCCUCUUGGUGAGGGCUUACACAAUCAGGUCGGUAAAACCAAUAAAAACGGCGUAUUCUUUCGAACCGUAGACGCCAACGGGAAUUUUCGAAAGCGCGAAGGUCAAAUCUGUAGUCCAAAUUCAAACAUUAGAAAACAAAUGAGUCCUGGUGAGUUUAUAAUGAAUGUAACUGGUGAAGCUGGAGACAGUGGUUCACCUGUAUUCAAUACCACCACCGGUGAACUGAUCGGAGUUUAUAGAGGCGUCUUUACACCCGAUGAAACACAAACAAAUAUAUCGCCUAUAUAUGGCCGCUAUACUGAAAUUUCUCCAAACUUUUUACCCUGGCGCCAAACGACGCCUUUUGAUUUUGCAGAUUUGAUUUAAAAAAUCUUUCACUAUUGUAAUAUAUGUACUAUUGGUAUCAGCAUUCUGUGAUAAGCCUGCCCUCUAGUGGUGUAUGUAGUGCUGUAUUAGUAAUGGCAGUUCUGAGUAAAGACCAUGUGAGUUAACACAACUCAACCGUUCUGCUGCGUAUUAUUUCUCUGUCAGCAUACACAACAACUAUAUUGUCUGAUUUCUAGUCAAGUCCAAUCCAAACACUCCUGUGGUGUCUGAUUGACAUGAACUGAUUGAAUUCGUCAUUUUAACCAAAUUAUAACAGUUUCCCUUUUAUAGACCCUGUGUUGUACAUCUCGUUUACCAAAAAAAAAGUAUACCUAUCUAUCUCUCUUUAAAUCUAUCUUGGGUAAGCUUGAGUAUUGUGAUUGUGUGUGUGUGAUUGUGUGUGUGAUUGUGUGUGUCUGUGAUUGUGUGCGUGUGUGUUUGCAACGCAUGAGCCAAAGUGAGUCACUGGAGCCACACCUUGGAUUUUUUUCGGCUACAUUUCUGUCUCCUGCCACAGUGAGAAACCGAAAGCUUAUGUAAAAAGAGUAUACAUUUCCAACUGUGGAGAAAAUCAGAGCUACAACUUCAUCAAGCUCGAUGGGAUCUGCAGCAACAAGAACCAUAACAACAAGAGCACACCAAGAACGUGAUGGAAGGUAAAGCUGUGGGCUGAGCCCCCAUCCAGAACCUGCUGGAUCAGAACUGAGCUGAGCUCUUUCUCACCGCUCUCAAUCCCACCCUGGGGCGAUGCGGAGAAACGGAAGACCCUGGAGAUCCUGGAGAUUUUCAAGACGUGGCUGCGCAUUCAUGUCCCCAAAAGACUUAACAAUGUCUGUCUCACAAUGGCUCGUGUGUCAACCAUACACACACACAUGCACACACAGACACACAUACAAACACACAUGCAAAACCACCAAAAAAACAUGAAAAACAAAAAAACCCUGAAAAAAAAACAGAAAAACGAAGAAAAAAUAAGAAAAAUAAAAAGAAAAGAAAAUGCAAACAAACAAAUAAAAAACCACACAAAAGAAAAACACCUCCAACAAAAACACAAAAAGCAAACAAAAAGCACCCACACACACACACAUGCUUGGCUCACUUAGAGAUAGAUUUUCUGAAACCUUGAACAUGUGAAUGAUCCUCCUGGACCCACUUCCUCCUCCACGGUGCCUGGCAGCUGCUCAGUGUGAGGAGCGUGACACAAGACCCACAGAGGAUUGUUCACGUUACACAAAAAAAAGU